AUUGAACGCUGGCGGCAGGCCUAACACAUGCAAGUCGAGCGAGCGGCGGACGGGUGAGUAAUGUCUGGGAAACUGCCUGAUGGAGGGGUAUAACUACUGGAAACGGUAGCUAAUACCGCAUACCAUCAGAUGUUCCCAGAUGGGAUGAGCUAGUAGGUGGGGUAACGACUCACCUAGGCGACGAUCCCUAGCUGGUCUGAGAGGAUGACCAGCCACACUGGAACUGAGACACGGUCCCGACUCCUACGAGAGGCAGCAGUGGGGAGUAUUGCACAAUGGGCGCAAGCCUGAUGAAGCCAUGCCGCGUGAGUGAAGAAGGCUUGCGGGUUGUAAAGCACUUGCAGCGGGGAGGCGUUACCAGCAGAAGAAGAACCGGAUAACUCCGUGCCAGCAGCCGCGGUAAUUA
rnacentral:rRNA from 1 species